rnacentral:misc_RNA from 1 species
GAACAAAUUCCUUGAGACAAUGGCUGAUUGGUUCAGAUAUGCAGAUAAUCGGAGAAAAGCUGUUGGCUUUUGUGCAUAUGUGGUUCGUAGCUCUCUGGCUAAGUUAUAUGCUGCUAGGUAUAGGCUGAAAUCUCGUGCCAAGGUUUAUAAGAUUGCUUCGCGCGAUUUAAGCAGUCCAUUGAGGGAGCACACCAACAAUUCUGCACCUGAGUAUUCAGAUCUCUUGAGGAUGGGACUUGUUGAUGCUAUUGAAGGUGUUCGGUUUUCCCACAUGUCUUCAAU